rnacentral:lncRNA from 1 species
UAUGAUGUAGUAUGAUAGGAUGGUAUCCUCCUUUGAAUUAUUCAAGUGGCUUGACUUGGCGCAUGUUUACGCAUGUAGUUGAAACAAAAUCAACAUAUCCUCUAUGAUAUUCAUGUUUAUGGUGAUUUAUGUCCCACUCAUGCUUGCACUCAAUGUUGGUAAAUUUCAAUGCAUAUUGAUGACUGUUGUCGCUCUCUAGUUGGUCGCUUUCCAGUCUUUUGCUAGCCUUCACUUGUACUAAGCGGGAAUACUGCUUGUGCAUCUACUUCCAUAAACCCAAAGUUGUUCCAUAUGAGUCCACCAUACCUACCUAUAUGAGGUAUCUACUUGCCGUUCCAAGUAAAUUUGCAUGUGCCACUCUCUAAACC